CUCCUACCGAUUGAAUGGUCCGGUGUAAGUGUUCGGAUCGCGGCGACGUGGGCGGUUCGCCGCUGGCGACGUCGCGUGAAGUCCACUGAACCUUAUCAUUUAGAGGAAGGAGAAGUCGUAACAAGGUU
rnacentral:rRNA from 1 species